GCCCCUUCGGGGGUGCUCGAGUGGCGAACGGGUGAGUAACACGUGGGUGACCUGCCCUGCACUCUGGGAUAAGCCUGGGAAACUGGGUCUAAUACCGGAUAGGACUGCGCGGUUUAUGCCGUGUGGUGGAAAGCGUUAUGUAGCGGUGUGGGAUGGGCCCCGCGGCCUAUCAGCUUGUUGGUGGGGUGAUGGCCUACCAAGGCGACGACGGGUAGCCGGCCUGAGAGGGUGAUCGGCCACACUGGGACUGAGAUACGGCCCAGACUCCUACGGGAGGCAGCAGUGGGGAAUAUUGCACAAUGGGCGCAAGCCUGAUGCAGCUACGCCGCGUGGGGGAUGACGGCCUUCGGGUUGUAAACCUCUUUCAGCGCCGACGAAGCGAGAGUGACGGUAGGCGUAGAAGAAGCACCGGCCAACUACGUGCCAGCAGCCGCGGUAAUACGUAGGGUGCGAGCGUUGUCCGGAAUUACUGGGCGUAAAGAGCUCGUAGGUGGUUUGUCGCGUUGUUCGUGAAAACUCGCAGCUUAACUGUGAGCGUGCGGGCGAUACGGGCAGACUAGAGUACUGUAGGGGAGACUGGAAUUCCUGGUGUAGCGGUGGAAUGCGCAGAUAUCAGGAGGAACACCGGUGGCGAAAGCGGGUCUCUGGGCAGUAACUGACGCUGAGGAGCGAAAGCGUGGGGAGCGAACAGGAUUAGAUACCCUGGUAGUCCACGCCGUAAACGGUGGGUACUAGGUGUGGGUUUCCUUCCUUAGGGAUCCGUGCCGUAGCU
rnacentral:rRNA from 1 species